rnacentral:rRNA from 1 species
CCUACGGGAGGCAGCAGUGAGGAAUAUUGGUCAAUGGACGCGAGUCUGAACCAGCCAAGUAGCGUGAAGGAUGACUGCCCUAUGGGUUGUAAACUUCUUUUAUAUGGGAAUAAAAUGUUCCACGUGUGGGCUUUUGUAUGUACCCUAUGAAUAAGGAUCGGCUAACUCCGUGCCAGCAGCCGCGGUAAUACGGAGGAUCCGAGCGUUAUCCGGAUUUAUUGGGUUUAAAGGGAGCGUAGGUGGAUUGUUAAGUCAGUUGUGAAAGUUUGCGGCUCAACCGUGAAAUUGCAGUUGAAACUGGCAGGCUGGAGUACAGUAGAGGUGGGCGGAAUUCGUGGUGUAGCGGUGAAAUGCUUAGAUAUCACGAAGAACUCCGAUUGCGAAGGCAGCUUACUGGACUGCAACUGACACUGAGGCUCGAAAGUGCGGGUAUCAAACAGGAUUAGAUACCCCAGUAGUC